rnacentral:rRNA from 1 species
UACGUAGGUGACCAGCGUUGUCCGGAUUUACUGGGCGUAAAGAGCGCGCAGGCGGUCGUUCAAGUCGAGUGUGAAAGCCCCCGGCUCAACUGGGGAGGGUCACUCGAUACUGAUCGACUUGAAGGCAGGAGAGGGAAGCGGAAUUCCCGGUGUAGUGGUGAAAUGCGUAGAUAUCGGGAGGAACACCAGUGGCGAAGGCGGCUACCUGGACCGGUUCUGACGCUGAGGCGCGAAAGCGUGGGUAGCAAACAGG